rnacentral:rRNA from 1 species
GGGUUGUGAGGUUAAGCGACUAAGCGUACACGGUGGAUGCCCUGGCAGUCAGAGGCGAUGAAGGACGUGCUAAUCUGCGAUAAGCGUCGGUGAGGUGAUAUGAACCGUUAUAACCGGCGAUUUCCGAAUGGGGAAACCCAGUGUGAUUCGUCACACUAUCAUUAACUGAAUCCAUAGGUUAAUGAGGCGAACCGGGGGAACUGAAACAUCUAAGUACCCCGAGGAAAAGAAAUCAACCGAGAUUCCCCCAGUAGCGGCGAGCGAACGGGGAGSAGCCCAGAGCCUGAAUCAGUGUGUGUGUUAGUGGAAGCGUCUGGAAAGGCGCGCGAUACAGGGUGACAGCCCCGUACACAAAAAUGCACAUAUUGUGAGCUCGAUGAGUAGGGCGGGACACGUGGUAUCCUGUCUGAAUAUGGGGGGACCAUCCUCCAAGGCUAAAUACUCCUGAC